rnacentral:misc_RNA from 1 species
CGUAGGUGACCUGCGGAAGGAUCAUUAAAGAAAAAUACAUUACACACUGGAUUUGAUACCCAACACAAAACUAAUCUUUUAAGUUAUUCAACUUUACUAAAAAAUCAAAACUUUCAACAACGGAUCUCUUGGUUCUCGCAUCGAUGAAGAACGCAGCGAAAUGCGAUACGUAGUAUGACUUGCAGACGUGAAUCAUCGAAUCUUUGAACGCACAUUGCGCCUCGAGGUAUUCCUCGAGGCAUGCCUGUUUGAGCGUCGGCCCCCCUCUAACCCCCGGGUUAGGUGUUGUUGACACACAAAACGAAAUACCAAGCGCCCAUCAAUCUCAUGUUUUUGAUGACGCCCCAACCAUUUCGCCCUCAAAUCAG